UACGUAGGGUGCGAGCGUUGUCCGGAAUUAUUGGGCGUAAAGAGCUCGUAGGCGGCCUGUCGCGUCGACCGUGAAAACCCGCAGCUCAACUGCGGGCUUGCGGUCGAUACGGGCAGGCUGGAGUUCGGUAGGGGAGACUGGAAUUCCUGGUGUAGGGGUGAAAUGCGCAGAUAUCAGGAGGAACACCGGUGGCGAAGGCGGGUCUCUGGGCCGAUACUGACGCUGAGGAGCGAAAGCGUGGGGAGCGAACAGG
rnacentral:rRNA from 1 species